UACGGAGGGUGCAAACGUUGCUCGGAAUCAUUGGGCGUAAAGCGCACGUAGGCGGUUUGUUAAGUCGGGUGUGAAAGCCCUGGGCUCAACCCAGGAAGUGCACUCGAAACUGGCGGGCUUGAAUAUGGAAGAGGGUCGCGGAAUUCCCGGUGUAGAGGUGAAAUUCGUAGAUAUCGGGAGGAACACCAGUGGCGAAGGCGGCGACCUGGGCCAAUAUUGACGCUGAGGUGCGAAAGCGUGGGGAGCAAACCGG
rnacentral:rRNA from 1 species